rnacentral:rRNA from 1 species
UACGGAAGGCAGCAGUGGGGAAUAUUGCACAAUGGGCGAAAGCCUGAUGCAGCUAUGCCGCGUGUAUGAAGAAGGCCUUAGGGUUGUAAAGUACUUUCAUCGGGGAGGAAAAACAAAACUAAUAAUUUUAUUUCUUGACGUUACCCGAAAAAGAAGCACCGGCUAACUCCGUGCCAGCAGCCGCGGUAAUACGGAGGGUGCUAGCGUUAAUCAGAAUUACUGGGCGUAAAGAGCACGUAGGUGGUUUUUUAAGUCAGAUGUGAAAUCCCUGGGCUUAACCUAGGAACUGCAUUUUGAAACUGAAAUACUAGAGUAUCGUAGAGGGAGGGUAGAAUUCUAGGUGUAGCGGUGAAAUGCGUAGAUAUCUGGAGGAAUACCUGUGGCGAAAGCGGCCUCCUAAACGAAUACUGACACUGAGGUGCGAAAGCGUGGGGAGCGAAACAGGGAUUAGAUACC